GGAAUGAUGGGUAGCCGGCCUGACAGGGUGAACGGGCACAAUGGAACUGAUACCCGGCCCUUACUCCUACUAGAGGCAGCAGCGCGGAAUAUUGCUACAAUGGACCGAGAGUCUGAUCCAGCAAUUCUGUGUGCACCAUGAAGUUUUUCAGAAUGAAAACUGCUUUCACUUGCUAACAAAAAAAUGACGGUACCAACACAACAGGUGAAGGAUAAAUACGUGCCAGCAUCCGCGGUAAUACAUAUGUCACCAGCGUUAUCCCCACUUAUAGCACCUAAAUCGCGUCUAUGUGCCUAUGUAAGUCUGAUGCGAAAAUGCUUGGUUCAACUCUGUAUUGCGUUGGAAACUGCAUAACUAGAAUACUGUAGAGCUAACCGUAGCUACGAGAGUAGAGGUGAAAUUCGUAGAUAUUUGUACGAAUGCCGAUGGGGAAGCCAGCUUACUGAACAGAGACUGACGCUAGAGCGCGAAAGCGAGGGGAGCAACCAGGAUUAGAUACCCUGAUAGUACUCGUCGUAAACGAUGAUCAUUAGGUGUCGGGGAGCAAAGAUCUUGCGGUGCCGCAGCAAACGCAAUAAGUAGUACUAUCUGGGGAGUACGUUCGCAAGAAUGAAACUCAAAGGAAUUGACGGGGACCCGCACAAGCGGUGGAGCAUGUGGUUCAAUUAGUAGCAACGCGAAGAGCAUUAUCUGGUCUUGACAUGCCUCUGACCGGUAUUUAAUCGGAGUUUUCUUUUGGGACAGA
rnacentral:rRNA from 1 species